rnacentral:rRNA from 1 species
UACGAAGGGGACUAGCGUUGUUCGGAAUCACUGGGCGUAAAGCGCACGAGGCGGAUAUGUCAGUCAGGGGUGAAAUCCCGGGGCUCAACCUCGGAACUGCCUUUGAUACAGCAUAUCUUGAGUCCGAUAGAGGUGGGUGGAAUUCCUAGUGUAGAGGUGAAAUUCGUAGAUAUUAGGAAGAACACCGGUGGCGAAGGCGGCCACUGGAUCGGU